AUUUUAAUCAUUGUCCUCAUCACUAUUGUUGCUUUAUGCAUGAGACGAAGAAAAAGGAGUGAAGUAAUUGCAGAAUUGAUUGAUAAUAAUCCAGCAUAUGGACAAGUGUUACAGGUGGAAAAUAAUCAAAGGGUGAAUGUCAAUGUUGAUGUUAAUUCUGCCUAUGAGACAAUUGCAGAGCAUAACCACAACAGACGUACAAACAUCACAGAUUAUGAAACUGUUUUGUGAUUUGAAAUAGUUUUAGCAAUCAUUGAUUCAUUAUAAAUAAAAUGUGCAGAGGCCUAAAUAUUCAGUUUAGAGUAAAAUCAUUAUU